CGAAUAGGGGAGCCGCAGGGAAACCGAGUCUUAAUUGGGCGUUAAGUUGCAGGGUAUAGACCCGAAACCCGGUGAUCUAGCCAUGGGCAGGUUGAAGGUUGGGUAACACUAACUGGAGGACCGAACCGACUAAUGUUGAAAAAUUAGCGGAUGACCUGUGGCUGGGGGUGAAAGGCCAAUCAAACCGGGAGAUAGCUGGUUCUCCCCGAAAGCUAUUUAGGUAGCGCCUCGUGAAUUCAUCUCCGGGGGUAGAGCACUGUUUCGGCUAGGGGGCCAUCCCGGCUUACCAACCCGAUGCAAACUGCGAAUACCGGAGAAUGUUAUCACGGGAGACACACGGCGGGUGCUAACGUCCGUCGUGAAGAGGGAAACAACCCAGACCGCCAGCUAAGGUCCCAAAGUCAUGGUUAAGUGGGAAACGAUGUGGGAAGGCCCAGACAGCCAGGAUGUUGGCUUAGAAGCAGCCAUCAUUUAAAGAAAGCGUAAUAGCUCACUGGUCGAGUCGGCCUGCGCGGAAGAUGUAACGGGGCUAAACCAUGCACCGAAGCUGCGGCAGCGACGCUGAUGCGUUGUUGGGUAGGGGAGCGUUCUGUAAGCCUGUGAAGGUGUGUCGUGAGGCAUGCUGGAGGUAUCAGAAGUGCGAAUGCUGACAUAAGUAACGAUAAAGCGGGUGAAAAGCCCGCUCGCCGGAAGACCAAGGGUUCCUGUCCAACGUUAAUCGGGGCAGGGUGAGUCGACCCCUAAGGCGAGGCCGAAAGGCGUAGUCGAUGGGAAACGGGUUAAUAUUCCCGUACUUGGUGUUACUGCGAAGGGGGGACGGAGAAGGCUAUGUUGGCCGGGCGACGGUUGUCCCGGUUUAAGCGUGUAGGUGUGUGUUCCAGGUAAAUCCGGUUCACUUUAACACUGAGGCGUGAUGACGAGGCACUACGGUGCUGAAGCAACAAAUGCCCUGCUUCCAGGAAAAGCCUCUAAGCAUCAGGUAACAUCAAAUCGUACCCCAAACCGACACAGGUGGUCAGGUAGAGAAUACCAAGGCGCUUGAGAGAACUCGGGUGAAGGAACUAGGCAAAAUGGUGCCGUAACUUCGGGAGAAGGCACGCUGACAC
rnacentral:rRNA from 1 species